CCAGAACGCCAAACGAAAUAACAUUUAUAAAAAAAAAAUUCUAAAUUUUAAAAUAGAAAAAUAUAGAAAAUAUUUAAUUAAUGAACUCAAAUAAGUCAGAAUAACUAAGCUGAGGUAGGUUUGCUGAUGCUCUUGCCAACAUUCCUAGGGAAGAAUGGCAUUUUUUUAUUACCGACUCGAUCUGCUGUUUAAAGAUCCGAAUUAGAAAUAUUGUUUGUGCAUCUUACUUGAUUACAGUUUAAAAAACUUGCUUGUUGUAACAGCUCCAUGUUCAAAAUUAGAGAUGUGCCUGGUAUCCUGCAAUUUUUUUAGGUACCCUGUAAUUUAUGUAUGUUUGGCGGGUAAUUUUAAUCAAGACCAAGUCUUCCGCCAGCUCCAGUCGGACUUUUUUAAAACUUUUUAUUGUUAUAGUGUAAAACAUUGUAAAGCUUAUUUCAAUGGAAAAAAUAAAUAAAUAUAAAUUUAGAAUUUA